GCAUGUCAUAACAGGAAAACAUACAACUAGCCAUCAAUAGUGCUGAGUGGAAUGGUUUUCAUCACAAAUGUGGAAGUUCUUUUAUCCGCUACCAUAGAUCUAGUCAAGGGAAGGAUUUUAAAGCUUUUUUUCAGCUUGCUCCAUUUUUAGGGAAAAGGGGCUGAAUAUGAGCCGGAAGUAGUUCAACUUUGGUUUAUGCUAGCAGACCGUUGGCCCAGAGGCUCCAAUUAUAUGUAAGAGGAAGGAUUUAUAUAUUGUGAAAGAUCCUGGAAUGUUCAACUUUAUUUGGAAACUAUUGGAUGAGAAUGGACAUAAUUUACACCAGAAGCCAGUUAAUUAUCAUCUUGUUUUGCAAUUGGAAACUAUAUGUAAACUGCUGAAACUUGAGAACAACAUUAAAAGCCAAGAUCAACAAUACUUGACAACUUCAUCAUCAUGUAUAAUCAGAGUACAUGUACUGUCAGACUCCAUAUGAGAAUCAAUCUACACAUGGUGUCUUUAUGUAUAUGUAAUGUGUUGACAGAAUCCAGCCACUUAAGAAGCAAAGGAUCAACUAUAAUUUAGAACUGUAUGCAUAAGUGCUGGCAAAAUUCAUAAAAAAAUCAAAGAUCACUAAAGGACCUACUUUAUCUACCUGUCCCGAUGAUGAUACAGAUUAUUGGUUCUUGUGAAGAAAAAAAACAGUGAAGAAGAAUAUUGAUAUAAAAAUAAUGAAAAAUAAGGAUUGUACAUGUACAUGAUGUAUACAUGUAAACAAUUACUAGUUGACCCUAACCUUGAAGUAAAUGCAACAGAAGAUUUUUAAGUUUUAAUCUUUAGAAUUAUACCCUAAAUAUUCACAGAAAGAAGACCCAAAUAAUGUAUUUAACAUUAAAAGAAAAUGAAUUCAUAUAAACAAGAAAAUGCUAUUCUUCUAUUCAUCAGAAUGUAUUGAUUCUUGAUAUCUUAGCUGUCUUUAGAGUAUAAUAAACCAUUCUAAAGGUGUUUUCAUAUGUUUUAUCAAGCUACAAUCUAGAUUUCGAAAUUC